AGCAACUUGGCGCAGGGGUUAGCGCGCGGGGCCCAUAAAGACCGUGAGAAAUUGGCCACCCCGAGGUCCCUGGAUCGAAACCAGGAGUUGCUA